CCUACGGGUGGCAGCAGUGAGGAAUAUUGGUCAAUGGACGAGAGUCUGAACCAGCCACGUAGCGUGAAGGAUGGCUGCCCUAUGGGUUGUAAACUUCUUUUAUAAAGGAAUAAAACGAGGCACGCGUGCCUUUUUGCAUGUACUUUAUGAAUAAGGAUCGGCUCACUCCUUGCCAGCAGCCGCGGGAAUACGGAGGUUCCGAGCGUUAUCCGGAUUUAUUGGGUUUAAAGGGAGCGUAGAUGGGUUGUUAAGCCAGUUGUGGAAGUUUGCGGCUCAACCGUAGAAUUGCAAUUGAGACUGGCAGUCUUGAGUACGGUUGAGGUAGGCGGAAUUCGUGGUGUAGCGGUGAAAUGCUUAGAUAUCACGAAGAACCCCGAUUGCGAAGGCAGCUUACUAAACUAUGACUGACAUUGAUGCUCGAAAGUGUGGGUAUCAAACAGGAUUAGAUACCCUGGUAGUC
rnacentral:rRNA from 1 species